rnacentral:rRNA from 1 species
AAAUGAAUUGACGGGAGCCCGCACAAGCAGUGGAGUAUGUGGUUUAAUUCGACGCAACGCGAAGAACCUUACCGAAACUUGACAUCCCGAGAAGACUGUUGUAAAGACGGUUGUGCCCUUCGGGGAACUCGGAGACAGGUGGUGCAUGGUUGUCGUCAGCUCGUGUCGUGAGAUGUUGGGUUAAGUCCCGCAACGAGCGCAACCCUUACGGUUAGUUGCUACGCAAGAGCACUCUAGCCGGACUGCCGUUGACAAAACGGAGGAAGGUGGGGACGACGUCAAAUCAUCAUGCCCCUUACGUUUCGGGCUACACACGUACUACAAUGGCGCAAACAAAGGGAAGCGAAGCCGCGAGGUGAAGCAAACCCCAUAAAAGGCGCCUCAGUUCAGACUGCAGGCUGCAACUCGCCUGCACGAAGUUGGAAUUGCUAGUAAUCGCGGAUCAGCAUGCCGCGGUGAAUACGUUCCCGGGCUUUGUACACACCGCCCGU